UACGUAGGGGGCGAGCGUUGUCCGGAGUUACUGGGCGUAAAGCGCUUGUAGGCGGUCCACCAAGUUUGGGGUGACAGUUGCCGACUUAAUCGGCAAAGUGCCUCAAAGACUGGCGGACUUGAGGGCCACAGAGGGACACGGAAUUCCGGGUGGAGUGGUGAAAUGCGUAGAGAUCCGGAGGAACACCAAAGGCGAAGGCAGUGUCCUGGGGAGUACCUGACGCUCAGGUGCGAAAGCCAGGGGAGCGAACGGG
rnacentral:rRNA from 1 species